AGUGUUGUUGCAGGAUGAAGCCUGUCAUCCAUCAGCAGAGCAUGAUGUUGCCAUGAUGAUGCUCAUGAUGCUGACAGUGUACU